GCGAGAUUUUGUCAAAUACGAAGUUUACAUGGAAUGUGGAGUGUUUCAUACUGUGUUUUGCACUAAUUUUCGGAAAUUUAAAUCAAAUUGGGGAUGAUUUUGGCCGAAAUUGGAUUCUUCGGGUCUUGGGCUCGAGGGCUACGUAAAAAGCCCCUAAUUUCAAGUUUUUAUUUAGAAGCAGAAUGGAAAUUAAAGGUGCAGUGGGUCAGCCAACUACGUAUCCGGUAACGGAAUUAUCAUUGCGAAAGAUUGAGAGAAAUAAAUACGAGAUUUGACUGCUCAAAAGUCAAAAUCGUGAAUCUGUUGCCAAGCUUGACUGAUGCACUAUGGCGAAUGAUCAACGGAAUUUCAGAACGAAAACUGAGAGGCAUUUUGGCCCUAACUAGAGGAAUAUUCGAUUAAUUGCUAUCAUGGGCACUAUUUUGAGAAAUAUUUUGGAUGCAAUGUUAUUGAAUUUGAGUAAAUCAAGAUGAUGAAGAUGUUUGAUUUGUAAUAUGUACUCUCAUUAAUGCGAAAUUCGAUGACUACGAGAUUCAUAAGAAUAUUAUGCAGCUCAUAAGAAGACAUCAGUAUACUAUAGCCUAAUAUUUUUUUAGAGCCUAAAAUGUGGGCCUAUGUUUUAUUUAGGAAUGAUAUCAUCAUACGAAACAUUUGACAGAUUCGCUUCGAAUUAAAUAUGAAAUUUAAAAGAUUCGAGUUCAUCUUCGAUACUUUCUUCUUAAAUUCAGUGAUCAAGAGACGGUAAAUUAAUUUUACGUGAUGCACGAGUAUGAUUUACUGUAUAUGAUGUGUUUCGUUUGUGUUUGUUAUUUUCUAUAACCAAAUAAAUGAACGCAGAUA